GACGAACGCUGGCGGCGUGCUUAACACAUGCAAGUCGAGCGGUAAGGCCCUUUCGGGGGUACACGAGCGGCGAACGGGUGAGUAACACGUGGGUGACCUGCCCUCAGCUCUGGGAUAAGCCUGGGAAACCGGGUCUAAUACCGGAUAUGACUCCAUGACGCAUGUUGUGGGGUGGAAAGCCUUGUGCGGCUGAGGAUGGGCCCGCGGCCUAUCAGCUUGUUGGUGGGUGAUGGCCUACCAAGGCGACGACGGGUAGCCGGCCUGAGAGGGCGACCGGCCACACUGGGACUGAGACCACGGCCCAGACUCCUACGGGAGGCAGCAGUGGGGAGUCUUGCGCAAUGGGCGAAAGCCUGACGCAGCGACGCCGCGUGAGGGAUGACGGCCU
rnacentral:rRNA from 1 species